rnacentral:rRNA from 1 species
CAGUAGCCGCGGGAAUACGUAGGUGGCAAGCGUUGUCCGGAAUUAUUGGGCGUAAAGGGCUCGCAGGCGGUUUCUUAAGUCUGAUGUGAAAGCCCCCGGCUCAACCGGGGAGGGUCAUUGGAAACUGGGAAACUUGAGUGCAGAAGAGGAGAGUGGAAUUCCACGUGUAGCGGUGAAAUGCGUAGAGAUGUGGAGGAACACCAGUGGCGAAGGCGACUCUCUGGUCUGUAACUGACGCUGAGGAGCGAAAGCGUGGGGAGCAAACAGGAUUAGAUACCCCCGUAGUCCCUGUCUCUUAUAC